rnacentral:rRNA from 1 species
AUUGAACGCUGGCGGCAGGCCUAACACAUGCAAGUCGAACGAGUGGCGGACGGGUGAGUAAUGUCUGGGAAACUGCCUGCUGGAGGGGGAUAACUACUGGAAACGGUAGCUAAUACCGCAUACCAUCAGAUGUGCCCAGAUGGGAUUAGCUAGUUGGUGGGGUAACGCCUCACCAAGGCGACCGUCCCUAGCUGGUCUGAGAGGAUGACCAGCAACACGGGAACGAGGACACGGUCCAGACUCCUACGGGAGGCAGCAGUGGGGAAUAUUGCAAAAGGGGGGCAAGCCUGAUGCAGCCAUGCCGCGGGGAUGAUGAGGGCCUUCGGGUUGUAAAGUACUUUCAGCGGGGAGGCGUUACCCGCAGAAGAAGCGCCGGCUAACUCCGUGCCAGCAGCCGCGGUAAUAC